rnacentral:rRNA from 1 species
AUUGAACGCUGGCGGCAGGCCUAACACAUGCAAGUCGAGCGGAUGAAGGGAGCUUGCUCCUGGAUUCAGCGGCGGACGGGUGAGUAAUGCCUAGGAAUCUGCCUGGUAGUGGGGGAUAACGUCCGUACACGGGCGCUAAUACCGCAUACGUCCUGAGGGUGAAAGUGGGGGAUCUUCGGACCACACGCUACUAGCUGAGCCUAGGUCGGAUUAGCUAGUUGGUGGGGUAAAGGCCUACCAAGGCGACGAUCCGUAACUGGUCUGAGAGGAUGAUCAGUCACACUGGAACUGAGACACGGUCCAGACUCCUACGGGAGGCAGCAGUGGGGAAUAUUGGACAAUGGGCGAAAGCCUGAUCCAGCAAUGCCGCGUGUGUGAAGAAGGUCUUCGGAUUGUAAAGCACUGUAAGUUGGGAGGAAGGGCAGUAAGUUAAUACCUUGCUGUUUUGACGUUACCAAAAGAAUAAGCAACGGCUAACUUCGUG